AGUGAACGCUGGCGGUAGGCCUAAUACAUGCAAGUCGAACGGAAACACAGUAAGCGUUUGCUCCUACGGUUGGCGGGUGGCGGACGGGUGAGGAGUGCAUCGGCAACUACUUAUACGUGGGGGAUAACGUGGGGCAACUUCUGAUAAUACAGCAUAUGUUGUACGGGUGAAAGCAGUGGUUCUACGCAGUUUGCGUGACUCUAUGAGACGAUGUCGGGUUAGCUAGUUGGAGGGGUAAAGGCCCACCAAGGCGACGCUCCGAAGCUGAACCGACAGGAUGAUCGGCCACACGGGAACUGAGACACGGUCCAAACUCCUACGGGAGGCAGCAGUGGGGAAUAUUCGACAAGGGGCGAAAGCCUGAGGCAGCCAGACCGCGUGGGUGAAGAAGGCCUUCGGGUUGUAAAGCCCUGUUGUUGGGAAAGAAAAACAGCAUAUUAACAACGCACGUUUUGAAGGUAACUAAUAAAAUAAGCACGGCUAACUACGUG
rnacentral:rRNA from 1 species